rnacentral:rRNA from 1 species
AGAUUGAACGCUGGCGGCAUGCCUUACACAUGCAAGUCGAACGCGAAAGGGGGGCAACCCCCGAGUAGAGUGGCGAACGGGUGAGUAAUACAUCGGAACGUAUCCAGUAGCGGGGGCUAACCUCUCGAAAGAGAGGCUAAUACCGCAUACGACCUACGGGUGAAAGAGGGGGAUCGCAAGACCUCUCACUAUUGGAGCGGCCGAUGUCGGAUUAGCUAGUUGGCGGGGUAAAAAGCCCACCAAGGCUACGAUCCGUAGCUGGUCUGAGAGGACGACCAGCCACACUGGACUGAGACACGGUCCAGACUCCGUACGGGAGCAGCAGGUGGGGAAUUUGGACAAGUGGGCGCAAGCCUGAUCGAGCCAGUCGCCGCGUGAGUGAAAGGAAGGCCGUUUCGGGUUGUAAA